rnacentral:rRNA from 1 species
UGCGGUAACACGUACUGGAGGUCCGAACCCACUAACGUUGAAAAGUUAGGGGAUGAGCUGUGGAUAGGGGUGAAAGGCUAAACAAACUUGGAAAUAGCUGGUUCUCUCCGAAAACUAUUUAGGUAGUGCCUCAAGUAUUACCUGCGGGGGUAGAGCACUGUUUAGGCUAGGGGGUCAUGGCGACUUACCAAACCUAUGCAAACUCCGAAUACCGCAGAGUACAGCUUGGGAGACAGAGCACCGGGUGCUAACGUCCGGACUCAAGAGGGAAACAACCCAGACCGCCAGCUAAGGUCCCUAAAAUUGGCUAAGUGGGAAACGAAGUGGGAAGGCUAAAACAGUCAGGAUGUUGGCUUAGAAGCAGCCAUCAUUUAAAGAAAGCGUAAUAGCUCACUGAUCGAGUCGUCCUGCGCGGAAGAUGUAACGGGGCUAAGCCAGUUACCGAAGCUGCGGAUUUGCAAUUU